rnacentral:rRNA from 1 species
UGCCAGCCGCCGCGGUAAUACGGAGGGUGCGAACGUUAAUCGGAAUUACUGGGCGUAAAGCGCGCGUAGGCGGUUUGCUAAGUGGGAUGUGAAAGCCCUGGGCUUAACCUGGGAACUGCAUUCCAAACUGGCAAACUAGAGUAUGGUAGAGGGAGGUAGAAUUUCCUGUGUAGCGGUGAAAUGCGUAGAUAUAGGAAGGAAUACCGAUGGCGAAGGCAGCCUCCUGGACCAAUACUGACGCUGAGGUGCGAAAGCGUGGGGAGCAAACAGGAUUAGAUA